rnacentral:rRNA from 1 species
GGAGGGCAAGUCUGGUGCCAGCAGCCGCGGUAAUUCCAGCUCCAAUAGCGUAUAUUAAAGUUGUUGCAGUUAAAAAGCUCGUAGUUGAACCUUGGGCCUGGCUGGCCGGUCCGCCUCACCGCGUGUACUGGUCCGGCCGGGCCUUUCCUUCUGGGGAACCUCAUGCCCUUCACUGGGCGUGUUGGGGAACCAGGACUUUUACUUUGAAAAAAUUAGAGUGUUCAAAGCAGGCCUUUGCUCGAAUACAUUAGCAUGGAAUAAUAGAAUAGGACGUGUGGUUCUAUUUUGUUGGUUUCUAGGACCGCCGUAAUGAUUAAUAGGGAUAGUCGGGGGCAUCAGUAUUCAAUCGUCAGAGGUGAAAUUCUUGGAUUGAUUGAAGACUAACUACUGCGAAAGCAUUUGCCAAGGAUGUUUUCAUUAAUCAGUGAACGAAAGUUAGGGGAUCGAAGACGAUCAGAUACCGUCGUAGUCUUAACCAUAAACUAUGCCGACUAGGGAUCGGACGGUGUUAGUAUUUUGACCCGUUUGGCACCUUACGGGAAAC